rnacentral:tRNA from 1 species
GCCCCCAUGGCCUAGCGGUAUGGCGUUACCUUGGUAAGGUAGAGAUCCCGGGUUCAAUUCCCGGUGGGGGCUCCA